rnacentral:rRNA from 1 species
UACGUAGGGGGCUAGCGUUAUCCGGAAUUACUGGGCGUAAAGGGUGCGUAGGUGGUUUCUUAAGUCAGAGGUGAAAGGCUACGGCUCAACCGUAGUAAGCCUUUGGAACUGGGGAACUUGAGUGCAGGAGAGGAGAGUGGAAUUCCUAGUGUAGCGGUGAAAUGCGUAGAUAUUAGGAGGAACACCAGUUGCGAAGGCGGCUCUCUGGACUGUAACUAACACUGAGGCACGAAAGCGUGGGGAGCAAACAGG